rnacentral:rRNA from 1 species
AUGUGGUGCUUUUGCCCAAAGAGUGGUGCGGAGGGCAUCUCCAACUACAAAACCAUUAGUCUCAUCCAUGUUAUCAAUAUUAUUGCGAACGUGCUAUCCAUCAGCCUUGGCCCCCACAUGGAUGCCCUGGUCUCCAACGUGCAAAGUGCAAUCAUCAGGAGGGGAAGGAUUCACGAUAACUUUAUGUAUGUCCGAACUUUGCCCGCUGGUUGCACAAGUGCGGGACCCCCACCCUACUCUUCAAGCUUGACAUUCGCAAGGCCUUUGAUUUGGUUAAGUGAGAGUACAUCAUUGAUCUUCUACAAAGGAAAGGCUUCCUGA